GUGGCGAACGGGUGAGGAACACGUAAGAAUCUGCCCCUCGGUCGGGGACAACUUUUGGAAACGAAAGCUAAUACCCGAUACGCUGUGGAGUGAAAGAAUCUCGCCGAGGGAUGAUCUUGCGUCUGAUUAGCUAGUUGGUGCGGUAAUGGCGCACCAAGGCGACGAUCAGUAGCUGGUCUGAGAGGAUGAACAGCCACAUUGGAACUGAGAUACGGCCCAUACUCC
rnacentral:rRNA from 1 species